ensembl:snRNA U6 U6 spliceosomal RNA
GUGCUCACUUUGGCAACACAUGUACUAAAAUGAUACAGAGAAGAUUAGCAUGGCCCCUGCACAAGGAUAACAUGCAAAUUCAUGGAGUGUCCCGUAUUUUU